AAUCAACGCUGGCGGCGUGCCUAACACAUGCAAGUCGAACGAUGAAAUCCAGCUUGCUGGAUGGAUUAGUGGCGAACGGGUGAGUAAUACAUCGGAACGUGCCCUGUAGUGGGGGAUAACUACUCGAAAGAGUGGCUAAUACCGCAUACAACCUGAAGGUAAAAGUGGGGGACCGCAAGGCCUCACGCUAUAGGAGCGGCCGAUGGAAGAUUAGGUAGUUGGUGGGGUAAAGGCUCACCAAGCCUGCGAUCUUUAGCGGGUCUGAGAGGACGAUCCGCCACACUGGGACUGAGACACGGCCCAGACUCCUACGGGAGGCAGCAGUGGGGAAUUUUGGACAAUGGGCGAAAGCCUGAUCCAGCAAUGCCGCGUGAGUGAAGAAGGCCUUCGGGUUGUAAAGCUCUUUUGUUUGGGAAGAAAUCCCUAAGGAUAAUACCCUUGGGGGAUGACGGUACCAAAAGAAUAAGCACCGGCUAACUACGUGCCAGCCGCCGCCGUAAUAC
rnacentral:rRNA from 1 species